GACGAACGCUGGCGGCGUGCUUAACACAUGCAAGUCGAACGGUGAAGCUCCAGCUUGCUGGAGUGGAUCAGUGGCGAACGGGUGAGUAACACGUGAGCAACCUGCCCCUGACUCUGGAAUAAGCGCUGGAAACGGCGUCUAAUACUGGAUACGAGAAGGGUCCGCAUGGGCACUUUCUGGAAAGUUUUUCGGUUGGGGAUGGGCUCGCGGCCUAUCAGCUUGUUGGUGAGGUAAUGGCUCACCAAGGCGACGACGGGUAGCCGGCCUGAGAGGGCGACCGGCCACACUGGGACUGAGACACGGCCCAGACUCCUACGGGAGGCAGCAGUGGGGAAUAGUGCACAAUGGGCGAAAGCCUGAUGCAGCGACGCCGCGUGAGGGAUGACGGCCUUCGGGUUGUAAACCUCUUUCAGCAGGGAAGAAGCGAAAGUGACGGUACCUGCAGAAGAAGCACCGGCUAACUACGUG
rnacentral:rRNA from 1 species